rnacentral:rRNA from 1 species
UAGGGAAUCUUCCACAAUGGGCGAAAGCCUGAUGGAGCAACGCCGCGUGAGUGAAGAAGGGUUUCGGCUCGUAAAACACUGUUGUAAGAGAAGAAUGACAUUGAGAGUAACUGUUCAAUGUGUGACGGUAUCUUACCAGAAAGGAACGGCUAAAUACGUGCCAG